AGCUCCAAUAGCGUAUAUUAAAGUUGCUGCAGUUAAAAAGCUCGUAGUUGGAUUUGUGGAGCGGCCAUCCGGCGCGGCGCCAGCUCUUCGUAGCGGGUGUUCGCUAGUCCCGGCUUCGCGGCCGCUCCUUUCUCGGGAAGCGAGUGGCUGGCAUUAGGUUGUCGGCCGCUUCGCGCCCGUCUUUUACUGUGAAAAAAUUAGAGUGUUCAAAGCAGGCUUAGGCUGGAAUAAUGAGAUAAGGCCGCGGUGGUCUUUUCUGUUGGUUUGCCCACACGCCGCAAUGAUUAAAAGGAACGGUUGGGGGUAUUCGUAUUCAACUGUCAGAGGUGAAAUUCUUGGAUUUGUGGAAGACGAACUACUGCGAAAGCAUUUACCAAGGAUGUUUUCA
rnacentral:rRNA from 1 species